GACGAACGCUGGCGGCGUGCUUAACACAUGCAAGUCGAACGAAGAGCGCUGGCAGCUGGCGUGUAUUAAACUUACUAACGAACGGGUGAGUAACGCGUAAUCAACCUGCGCUUCAGAGAUGAACAACAGUAACAGAGGACUGCUAAGACUGCAUACGCCCUCAUCACGGCAUCGGUGAUAGAUGAUAGGCGGCUUCGACAUGUAAGCUGUCAUUGCAGGAGGGUGGUGCGUCUGUGUCGCUAGUUGGCGGGGUCGCGGACCACGAAGGCGAUGAUCAGGAGCCGGUCUGAGAGGAUGGACGGCCAGAUUGGGACUGAGACACGGCCCAGACUGCUACGGGAGGCAGCAGUGGGGAAUCUUCCGCAAUGGACGAAAGUCUGACGGAGCAACGCCGCGUGAGCGAUGACGGCCUUCGGGUUGUAAAGCUCUGUUAAUCGGGACGAAAGGCCUUCUUGCGAAUAGGGAGAAGGAUUGACGGUACCGGAAUAGAAAGCCACGGCUAACUACGUG
rnacentral:rRNA from 1 species